GACGAACGCUGGCGGCGUGCCUAAUACAUGCAAGUAGAACGCUGAAGCGAGGAGCUUGCUCUUCUUGGAUGAGUUGCGAACGGGUGAGUAACGCGUAGGUAACCUGCCUUGUAGUGGGGGAUAACUAUUGGAAACGAUAGCUAAUACCGCAUAACAAUGGAUGACACAUGUCAUUUAUUUGAAAGGGGCAAUUGCUCCACUACAAGAUGGACCUGCGUUGUAUUAGCUAGUAGGUGAGGUAAUGGCUCACCUAGGCGACGAUACAUAGCCGACCUGAGAGGGUGAUCGGCCACACUGGGACUGAGACACGGCCCAGACUCCUACGGGAGGCAGCAGUAGGGAAUCUUCGGCAAUGGGGGCAACCCUGACCGAGCAACGCCGCGUGAGUGAAGAAGGUUUUCGGAUCGUAAAGCUCUGUUGUAAGUCAAGAACGGGUGUGAGAGUGGAAAGUUCACACUGUGACGGUAGCUUACCAGAAAGGGACGGCUAACUACGUG
rnacentral:rRNA from 1 species